CGGACUUGACGUUGGUUUACCAGCGAGUGGCGGACGGGUGAGUAACACGUAGGUAACCUGCCCCAAAGCGGGGGAUAACAUUUGGAAACAGAUGCUAAUACCGCAUAACAAUUUGAAUCGCAUGAUUCAAAUUUAAAAGAUGGCUUCGGCUAUCACUUUGGGAUGGACCUGCGGCGCAUUAGCUUGUUGGUAGGGUAACGGCCUACCAAGGCUGUGAUGCGUAGCCGAGUUGAGAGACUGAUCGGCCACAAUGGAACUGAGACACGGUCCAUACUCCUACGGGAGGCAGCAGUAGGGAAUCUUCCACAAUGGGCGCAAGCCUGAUGGAGCAACACCGCGUGAGUGAAGAAGGGUUUCGGCUCGUAAAGCUCUGUUGUUAGAGAAGAACGUGCGUGAGAGCAACUGUUCACGCAGUGACGGUAUCUAACCAGAAAGUCACGGCUAACUACGUGCCAGCAGCCGCGGUAAUACGUAGGUGGCAAGCGUUAUCCGGAUUUAUUGGGCGUAAAGCGAGCGCAGGCGGUUUGAUAAGUCUGAUGUGAAAGCCUUUGGCUUAACCAAAGAAGUGCAUCGGAAACUGUCAGACUUGAGUGCAGAAGAGGACAGUGGAACUCCAUGUGUAGCGGUGGAAUGCGUAGAUAUAUGGAAGAACACCAGUGGCGAAGGCGGCUGUCUGGUCUGCAACUGACGCUGAGGCUCGAAAGCAUGGGUAGCGAACAGGAUUAGAUACCCUGGUAGUCCAUGCCGUAAACGAUGAGUGCUAGGUGUUGGAGGGUUUCCGCCCUUCAGUGCCCGCAGCUAACGCAUUAAGGCACUCCGCCUGGGGA
rnacentral:rRNA from 1 species